GAUGAACGCUGGCGGCGUGCCUAAUACAUGCAAGUCGAGCGAACGGACGAGAAGCUUGCUUUUCUGAUGUUAGCGGCGGACGGGUGAGUAACACGUGGAUAACCUACCUAUAAGACUGGGAUAACUUCGGGAAACCGGAGCUAAUACCGGAUAAUAUUUUGAACCGCAUGGUUCAAAAGUGAAAGACGGUCUUGCUGUCACUUAUAGAUGGAUCCGCGCUGCAUUAGCUAGUUGGUAAGGUAACGGCUUACCAAGGCAACGAUGCAUAGCCGACCUGAGAGGGUGAUCGGCCACACUGGAACUGAGACACGGUCCAGACUCCUACGGGAGGCAGCAGUAGGGAAUCUUCCGCAAUGGGCGAAAGCCUGACGGAGCAACGCCGCGUGAGUGAUGAAGGUCUUCGGAUCGUAAAACUCUGUUAUUAGGGAAGAACAUAUGUGUAAGUAACUGUGCACAUCUUGACGGUACCUAAUCAGAAAGCCACGGCUAACUACGUGCCAGCAGCCGCGGUAAUACGUAGGUGGCAAGCGUUAUCCGGAAUUAUUGGGCGUAAAGCGCGCGUAGGCGGUUUUUUAAGUCUGAUGUGAAAGCCCACGGCUCAACCGUGGAGGGUCAUUGGAAACUGGAAAACUUGAGUGCAGAAGAGGAAAGUGGAAUUCCAUGUGUAGCGGUGAAAUGCGCAGAGAUAUGGAGGAACACCAGUGGCGAAGGCGACUUUCUGGUCUGUAACUGACGCUGAUGUGCGAAAGCGUGGGGAUCAAACAGGAUUAGAUACCCUGGUAGUCCACGCCGUAAACGAUGAGUGCUAAGUGUUAGGGGGUUUCCGCCCCUUAGUGCUGCAGCUAACGCAUUAAGCACUCCGCCUGGGGAGUACGACCGCAAGGUUGAAACUCAAAGGAAUUGACGGGGACCCGCACAAGCGGUGGAGCAUGUGGUUUAAUUCGAAGCAACGCGAAGAACCUUACCAAAUCUUGACAUCCUUUGACAACUCUAGAGAUAGAGCCUUCCCCUUCGGGGGACAAAGUGACAGGUGGUGCAUGGUUGUCGUCAGCUCGUGUCGUGAGAUGUUGGGUUAAGUCCCGCAACGAGCGCAACCCUUAAGCUUAGUUGCCAUCAUUAAGUUGGGCACUCUAAGUUGACUGCCGGUGACAAACCGGGGGAAGGUGGGGAUGACGUCAAAUCAUCAUGCCCCUUAUGAUUUGGGCUACGCACGUGCUACAAUGGACAAUACAAAGGGCAGCGAAACCGCGAGGUCAAGCAAAUCCCAUAAAGUUGUUCUCAGUUCGGAUUGUAGUCUGCAACUCGACUACAUGAAGCUGGAAUCGCUAGUAAUCGUAGAUCAGCAUGCUACGGUGAAUACGUUCCCGGGUCU
rnacentral:rRNA from 1 species